rnacentral:tRNA from 1 species
GAUAGGGUGGCUGAAGUUUUAGGCUAUAAAUUGUAAAUUUAUAUAUGGUUAUACAACCUCCUAUCA